UUAGUUAACAUUCGAAUUUUCUGGGAUUUUUUUAAAAUAUAUACUGUAUUUAUUUUUUAAAGCUUCCCCUGAAUUCUAUUUAAUUAGUUAUCUUAACUGUUUCGAGAAUUUUCAUAGUAUAUGUUUUUUUUUGUUUUCCUUCCUUCCUUUUUUUUACUUAACGGUUAUUUCGGUUUAAAUAUAUUCCGGUGCCCGUACAGUUUGAGAACUCAGACGGAUCUCAAGGACGCAUUUUUGAAGCUCGUCAGCACUUUUAUACGAGUUUAUAGGAGUUUUCGAGAAUAUUUGGCGAAAAUUCUAUUUAUUUUCCUUCGUCACUUUAAAGAAUUUUCAACCUCUUCCCCAUCAAAAACGGUGCCAUUCUUCGCAAGAAAAAUUCGGUAUCCGGCGUCGAGCGAUGAUGGAUUUUUACAUGGAAAAACAGAGUAAUAGAGUUCGGUUACAUCACACGGGAAUUUGUAUACAUGCGAGUUCAAAAACACUCUAUCUAUCUAGCGUGUGGUGGUGUGACAUCACAACGUCGUCAUGAAAUCAAAAUCUAAAGUACUCCCCGGGUGCCGAGGGACAAGAUUUUCCAGAUAAUGUUAGCGCUUAUGGCGGGAAAUUGGGUUGAAUGAAGUCAAUACCUUGACCUACUCUGACGUCAUUCCAUUCGUUUCAUGUCUAUGCUCACAGGCUUUUAUCCAUAAUCUGGUUUAUCGUAUUUUAGGAUACGGCAUACGUGACUUUUAAGGAAUUUUUUAAAUAAUCAUUCGAGUUUCGGCAAUUUAACCAGCGUCUUUAAUGAAGCAAUUCUAGAAAUUCUUUUCUUAUGUAAUAUCAUAUCUAUCGUUCUCCAUUCAUAAAUUUCAUUAAUGGAAGACAGACAGACACGGGCUCAAGGUCUCGCUCAGUUUAAGGAAUGACCGUCCUUGUCCGCACUUAUUAUGUAAAAUGAUGGUAAACCCGUCUCCUGUCUAAUAUAAUUUAGGACAAGGUGAGCGCAUUAGGCUCGAUUAGAAUAAGUAAUCUUUCUCUGGUUUUCGUGUCGAAUGUUAUGUGUUAUUUAUUUAUUUAUUUAUUUCUAUUGAAAUUAUCCUCCUGCUCCUCCCUCGUUCUAUUUAUUUGUCAUUUUGGAAAGACAACAAAAAAUCUUGUCAUCGAUUGUUUUUCCUUCAAGGUUGGCUCGGAUAUGGUAAGCAAGAUCUCUAACAAAAGAUUCCUAACUUCUAAUUGGAUAUGUAAACGUUACAGACCAUGUUCUUCAAUUUACCUGGCGCCAAACAGUGUACAGAACUGCUGACGAGCCGUUGAGCUAUUUUGGAAACAGCCAUGUUUGUAAAUCUUUAAACGUUAAAAUAAAAUGUUUUGCUGUUCAGAUAUUAUGACAUAGAACAGGGGGGAAGAAAGAGAGAGAGGGGGGGUGGAGAAAAAGGCGGGGAGAAUACUAAAGAAUACAGAAUCUUUAUUCUCAGAAACGACUUAUUUAUUCGAUCCCUGGGCCCUUUUUUUUUCUAAGAACCGACAGCCACUCCUUGAGACAGUAGGAAAAAACACGAUAAGAGAGAGAGAAAGAGAGAGGAUUUGGGGUAGGUUUUCUUUUCCUCUGUCAACGUGUACACGAUAUCGGAAUGGAACAAGGCGCCAAAACACAUUAAAUUUCCUUUUCGGUAAAGCUUAUCCAUAUUAUCUGGUUGCUAUAUUUUACAUUGACAUACAAAUUACGCAUAGAUUAUGCAAUUGAAAUUCUUGCAAAUUUUACAAUUACGAAUUGCGGUCUGCUCUGGUUUUGUCAAAAUUUGGAACGAGGAUUUGACUGGCUGAGCUAAUAAAAAUUGAUUAUCGAGACAAGGUUACAACUUUUCUCGAAUUGACCUAGAAAAUCUUGCUCGCAUGGAGUCACUCUACAGAAUAUGGGAGGAGCUAUGUGACUUUGUUUUUGUUUUUUAGUGAACAGGAACAAGAAUAACUCUUUGCUGAGAUAUUUAUAGAAUUCUAUACGGUCUUGUUAAUUUUUUUUCCAGCGAAAUAAAAAAAAAACUCUUGAAUUAGAAAAAAAAAAUUAAAGGAAAUCUAAGGGUUUUUAUAUCAUAGAUAAGGUAAAACCGGAACGGAUCGUAAUCGUGGAUUAUACAGAAAAUAGCUAAUUAUGAAGCAAAAACAAAAAGAAUUCUGGUUUGUCCGGUAAAGUUGAUUUCUCGUUCACCUCUCGACUUGUUCUUGUGUUGGAACAAAGUUUUGGCAUCGGAUCUGACCUAAUUGCAUUGCCAACUGAGAGAUCCCGUGAUCGAAAUGGAUUUCUUCCAAAAACAUAUGUACAGGAACACGAGCGCCCUCUGAUGCCGAUACACCAAGUCGUUUUCGUCUGUGACGUCACAGUCGCGAUUGUAAAAAUGCUGGCGGGAAUUUUUCAUUCAACAUGUGAUUUUUACGAUCAAUGAAACGAAAUGCGUCCAGAUAAGCGGAGUUUACACUUGUUGCCAAAUGGUGAAAGAUGGAAAGAGAUUUUUUUCCCUUCCUUUGUGAUAGCAAAAAAGAUGUCUGGUAGCAUUGGAAUUUUGAUAGCUGAAACAAGAAAAGAAUGUGACAUUGAACUAAAACUGGAUAAAAAAAAAGAAAAAAAAAUCAAAAGACAUAACAUAAAUUAUUAAACAAAUUUAAAUAUAUUCGAUUAGCGAAUAUUAUAUUACAAAUAACUUAAAACGUCUCAAUAUUUUAUGCGAUUUCAAUGCCGUAAUCGGCUUUAACUCAUUGGAUUAUAUACCGCAAAUAUUUCAAGAAAGUAUUUGUGGUUAUGAUAUAAGCUAGAUAUGACCUACUUCGCUUAACGUUACAAUUAAAUAUUAGCAUAUUUACCAACAAUUUAACGUUAAAAAAAAAA